CCCUGCUGGGAGACAGCAACUGCUCCAGCGGGGUUAUUUGUCCCCAGAUAUUCUCCUUGAGGGCUCAGGUAUGACCUGCUGCUGUCCCUCACCCACCUCCCACCAGCCCCCUUCCAACUCCACCUGACCCUGAGCAAUUGUUGUGUCUGGGGUGCUCCCACUUACCCAGACUCUAGCAGAGCCUUGGAGCCUGCCUUGAACCCUGCUGCGUAGUGGUCAGACUGUACGUGGGCUGGCCGCGUGGAGUGGGCGUCUGUUGCAGAGGGGAAUACAGCCAUGCAGCCAGGAAUUUUGGGUCCUGGAGGUUGGGUGGGGCUCUUGUCAGGGAUGGGAGAUGAAUGCCCUUACGAAACAAGCUCAGUAACCUAGCACGGCCCUGAGAGGAAACUCCAGAGUCCCAGUCCUGUCUCUCCCACCUCCCCUGCCUCGCUUUCUCUCUGCUUUUCUGGAUCAGGGAAUGGUCCGUUUGUGUACUCCACAGCCCACACAACUGGGCCUCCUCCCAAGCCCCGCCGCUCCAAGAAAGCUGAGUCGGAAGGCCCUGCCCAGCCCUGUCCAGGCCCCCCUAAGCUGGUCCCCUCUGCUGACCUGAAAGCUCCCCACUCCAUGGUGGCUGCAUUUGACUACAACCCCCAGGAGAGUUCCCCCAAUAUGGACGUGGAGGCAGAGCUGCCCUUCCGGGCAGGGGAUGUCAUUACUGUGUUUGGGGGCAUGGACGAUGACGGUUUCUACUAUGGGGAAUUAAAUGGACAAAGGGGCCUGGUUCCAUCCAACUUCCUGGAGGGCCCUGGGCCUGAGGCAGGCGGCCUGGACAGGGAACCCAGGACACCCCAGGCUGAGAGUCAGAGAACGAGGAGGAGAAGAGUCCAGUGCUAGAUGGAGAUAGAUAUAUGUAGAGAGAGCAACAUGACUGGGGCUGCACCACACAAGGGUCCCCAGGGCCCCCAGGUGGGCCUUGUACCCCCAGCUCUGGCAGCGCCCCCAGGAUUGAACGUGGGGAGCCCCAGGGCAGAAGCGAGAAGGUGUGGGGUUUCUUCUCCAAGGGGAAGCAGCUCCUCAGGAGGCUGGGCUCUGGGAAGAAGGAGUGAAGCUGUGGCCCAUCCUGCAGGCAGAAGAGGCCCUGAGAGGCCCCCAGAUCACUGUCUCUGCUGAGCAGGGAAGGCUCAGACUGGGCCCAGAGCCCCCGUUCUUCUGCGUUAACACUGUGGCAUUCAGAGGGAAUCAAAGAGCCUUGGUGAAGGUCAGAGCUAAAUGGCUCCUUAAGGAUGAACUCUCUAGAGAAGCACCUUCCUCCUACAGGAGGGGAAACUGAGCCCACAGUGAGUAUGUAACUUGACCAAGGUCACUGAGCCAGGACUGGACCCAGGACCCUCGCGUCCUGGUCCACCCACCUCGUCUACUAGUGUCCCACAGUGCUGCGCUAGUCCCUUCUGCCACCCUUCCCAGUCCCAGGACGGGCCCUGGAGGGAGAAAGGAGCCUGUGCCCCCUGAUGGCUCUGGCUGU
rnacentral:lncRNA from 1 species